rnacentral:lncRNA from 1 species
CAUGUCCCAAACAUGUCUUACACAAGCACACAAAUAACCCAAAUGUCAUGGCAUGAAUAUCCGAAUUGUUUCUUAAGGUUCAAACGGGAAUUCUACUAUCUCAAUAUUCAUUAUACAUAAUCAUUUCCACAACCAAGCAAUUCAUGCUAUAUCAAUUUAAACACAUAUAAUAAUAAUGUAGUUGUAUUAUUUACAUACAACUUACUCGUUCCAAUGGAAUCUCAUAUUCCAUCAAAUCUCC